rnacentral:rRNA from 1 species
UACGUAGGAAGCGAGCGUUGUUCGGAUUUACUGGGCGUAAAGCGUGCGUAGGCGGUUGCGUAAGUUAAAGGUGAAAUCCCUGCCCUCAAAGUAGGAAGUGCCUUUAAUACUGCGCGACUCGAGAGCAAGAGGGGAAAACGGAACUCUGGGAGUAGCGGUGAAAUGUGUAGAUAUCCAGAGGAACGCCGGUGGCGAAAGCGGUUUUCUGGCUUGCCUCUGACGCUGAGGCACGAAAGCUAGGGGAGCGAUCGGGAUUAGAUACCCCAGUA